UUGGUGAACCAGCGGAGGGGAUCAUUACUGAGUUUACGCUCUACAACCCUUUGUGAACAUACCUAUAACUGUUGCUUCGGCGGGUAGGGUCUCCGCGACACUCCCGGCCUCCCGCCCCCGGGCGGGUCGGCGCCCGCCGGAGGAUAACCAAACUCUGAUGUAACGACGUUUCUUCUGAGUGGUACAAGCAAAUAAUCAAAACUUUUAACAACGGAUCUCUUGGUUCUGGCAUCGAUGAAGAACGCAGCGAAAUGCGAUAAGUAAUGUGAAUUGCAGAAUUCAGUGAAUCAUCGAAUCUUUGAACGCACAUUGCGCCCGCCAGCAUUCUGGCGGGCAUGCCUGUUCGAGCGUCAUUUCAACCCUCAAGCUCUGCUUGGUGUUGGGGCCCUACAGCUGAUGUAGGCCCUCAAAGGUAGUGGCGGACCCUCCCGGAGCCUCCUUUGCGUAGUAACUUUACGUCUCGCACUGGGAUCCGGAGGGACUCUUGCCGUAAAACCCCCAAUUCUUCCAAAGGUUGACCUCGGAUCAGGUAGGA
rnacentral:rRNA from 1 species